rnacentral:rRNA from 1 species
UACGUAGGGUGCGAGCGUUGUCCGGAAUUAUUGGGCGUAAAGAGCUCGUAGGCGGUGUGUCGCGUCGGGAGUGAAAUCCACUGGCUUAACUGGUGGCUUGCUUUCGAUACGGGCAGACUAGAGGUAUGCAGGGGAGAACGGAAUUCCUGGUGUAGCGGUGAAAUGCGCAGAUAUCAGGAGGAACACCGGUGGCGAAGGCGGUUCUCUGGGCAUUACCUGACGCUGAGGAGCGAAAGUGUGGGGAGCGAACAGG